rnacentral:tRNA from 1 species
UCCUUGGUCCAGUGGCUAAGGCUGCACUCCCAGUGCAGGGGCCUGGGUUCAAUUCCCGGUCAGGGAA